UACGUAGGGUGCGAGCGUUAAUCGGAAUUACUGGGCGUAAAGCGUGCGCAGGCGGUUCUCCAAGUCCGUUGUGAAAGCCCCGGGCUCAACCUGGGAAUGGCAGUGGAAACUAGGGGACUUGAAUCUGGCAGAGGGAUGUGGAAUUCCAGGUGUAGCGGUGAAAUGCGUAGAUAUCUGGAGGAACACCGGUGGCGAAGGCGGCAUCCUGGACCGGUAUUGACGCUGAGGCGCGAAAGCUAGGGGAGCAAACGGG
rnacentral:rRNA from 1 species